UACGUAGGGUGCAAGCGUUAAUCGGAAUUACUGGGCGUAAAGCGUGCGCAGGCGGCUUUGCAAGACAGAUGUGAAAUCCCCGGGCUCAACCUGGGAACUGCAUUUGUGACUGCAUGGCUAGAGUGGCGGCAGGAGGGGGAUGGAAUUCCGCGUGUAGCAGUGAAAUGCGUGAGAUAUGCGGAGGAACACCGAUGGCGACGGCGAAUCCCUGGGCCUCG
rnacentral:rRNA from 1 species